rnacentral:rRNA from 1 species
UAGGGAAUUUUGCGCAAUGGGGGCAACCCUGACGCAGCGACGCCGCGUGAGUGAAGAAGGCCUUCGGGUUGUAAAGCUCUGUCAGAAGGGACGAAUAAGUCUAGACUAAUAAGCUAGAUGAUGACGGUACCUUCAGAGGAAGCACCGGCUAACUCUGUGCCAGCAGCCGCGGUAAUACAGAGGGUGCAAGCGUUAUUCGGAAUUACUGGGCGUAAAGCGCAUGUAGGUUGGGUAUCAUGUCAGAUGUGAAAUCCCGGGGCUUAACUUCGGAAUUGCAUUUGAAACUGAUACUCUUGAGUCUGGGAGAGGGAGGUAGAAUUCCUGGUGUAGAGGUGAAAUUCGUAGAUAUCAGGAGGAAUACCGGAGGCGAAGGCGGCUUCCUGGCCCAGAACUGACACUCAGAUGCGAAAGCGUGGGUAGCAAACAGG